rnacentral:rRNA from 1 species
AUUGAACGCUGGCGGCAUGCCUUACACAUGCAAGUCGAACGGUAACAGGUCUUCGGAUGCUGACGAGUGGCGAACGGGUGAGUAAUACAUCGGAACGUGCCCGAGAGUGGGGGAUAACGAAGCGAAAGCUUUGCUAAUACCGCAUACGAUCUCAGGAUGAAAGCAGGGGACCGCAAGGCCUUGCGCUCACGGAGCGGCCGAUGGCAGAUUAGGUAGUUGGUGGGAUAAAAGCUUACCAAGCCGACGAUCUGUAGCUGGUCUGAGAGGACGACCAGCCACACUGGGACUGGGACACGGCCCAGACUCCUACGGGAGGCAGCAGUGGGGAAUUUUGGACAAUGGGCGCAAGCCUGAUCCAGCCAUGCCGCGUGCAGGAUGAAGGCCUUCGGGUUGUAAACUGCUUUCGUACGGAACGAAAAGACUCUGGUUAAUACCUGGGGUCCAUGACGGUACCGUAAGAAUAAGCACCGGCUAACUACGUGCCAGCCGCCGCCGUAAAAC